UACGUAGGGCGCAAGCGUUGUCCGGAAUUAUUGGGCGUAAAGAGCUCGUAGGCGGCCAGUUGCGUCUGCUGUGAAAUCCCGGGGCUCAACCCCGGGCGUGCAGUGGAUACGGGCUGACUAGAGGCAGGCAGGGGAGAACGGAAUUCCCGGUGUAGCGGUGAAAUGCGCAGAUAUCAGGAGGAACACCGGUGGCGAAGGCGGGUCUCUGGGCCGUAACUGACGCUGAGGAGCGAAAGCGUGGGGAGCGAACAGG
rnacentral:rRNA from 1 species